UCAUUCUGAGCAUUGGAUCACAGCAUCCACCUUGGGAAAGGCACUGGCCCAGCAAGAGCAGAGCAGCCUUCAGUACACAGAAACCUUUGAGGUGGGCACCAACAGCUAAGGUUCAGUGUUUGGCAAAGAAGCAGUGAGAAGGUGACAGAAUGGAUGUAAAGAGCGGAUAAGCAGGUACAACUUUGACUCCCCCUGCGCCCAGUGUGGGAUCCUGAGGAGCUGACUCAGGAGGAAACAGCCUUCUGCAUCUGAGGAGUCACAUCCCGGUUGUCCCACCAACGUUCACCAUUGCUGCAUGUUAUUUCAACUAAGACUCAACUAAAGCUGAAAAGAAAAUUGGGAAAACAGAAGAAAAGGAGAAGUCAAUGGUUUUGUGAGACUAAAAGUGAAAGCCAGGAACAGG